CCUACGGGAGGCAGCAGUGGGGAAUUUUGGACAAUGGGCGCAAGCCUGAUCCAGCCAUGCCGCGUGAGUGAAGAAGGCCUUCGGGUUGUAAAGCUCUUUCGGUGGGGAAGAAAUUGCACGGGCGAAUACCCUGUGUAGAUGACGGUACCUGGAGAAGAAGCACCGGCUAACUACGUGCCAGCAGCCGCGGUAAUACGUAGGGUGCGAGCGUUAAUCGGAAUUACUGGGCGUAAAGCGUGCGCAGGCGGUUGGGUAAGUCAGAUGUGAAAUCCCCGGGCUCAACCUGGGAACUGCAUUUGAGACUGUCCAGCUGGAGUUUGGCAGAGGGGGGUGGAAUUCCACGUGUAGCAGUGAAAUGCGUAGAGAUGUGGAGGAACACCGAUGGCGAAGGCAGCCCCCUGGGCCAAUACUGACGCUCAUGCACGAAAGCGUGGGGAGCAAACAGGAUUAGAUACCCUGGUAGUCCACGCCCUAAACGAUGUCAACUAGGUGUUGGGAGGGUUAAACCUUUUAGUGCCGUAGCUAACGCGUGAAGUUGACCGCCUGGGGAGUACGGCCGCAAGGCUAAAACUCAAAGGAAUUGACGG
rnacentral:rRNA from 1 species